UACGUAGGGUGCAAGCGUUAAUCGGAAUUACUGGGCGUAAAGCGUGCGCAGGCGGCUUUGCAAGUCAGAUGUGAAAUCCCCGGGCUCAACCUGGGAACUGCAUUUGUGACUGCAAGGCUAGAGUACGGCAGAGGGGGAUGGAAUUCCGCGUGUAGCAGUGAAAUGCGUAGAUAUCGGAAGGAACGCCAGUGGCGAAAGCGAUCUGCUGGACCUCUUCUGACGCUGAUGCGCGAAGGCCAGGGGAGCAAACGGG
rnacentral:rRNA from 1 species